rnacentral:lncRNA from 1 species
GCUGCUGAUAUUAUGGCCAACAGUGAUCGGGAGGAGGGAUGGUGGCCCUUCUCCAUCGAUGCGAUCAAGGAAGCUACUUCACAGGAUAUGUCAUUUCAUAGCUUUGUCCGUAUUCGAUGAUUUUGGUCUUUUUUCGGCGAGUCUCCUGCUCGCCUUCUUGUUCGGGUUUUUCUUUCUUUUCUUGGCUGUGGUUGAGAUGCCCGCUGGCAUCCUGGAUUAGCCAUGAGCUGGUGGAUCACUUCUUGUUCUGUGGUGGUGUCGGCGCUUUCGGGUUAUGGGCUGUGUUCUCUUGGCGGCAUUUUUGCAAACACUUGGUGCGCGUUCAGGUUAUGGGCUGUUUUACUUUUGCUUCUUUGGAUGCUUUUUCCAUAUGAUUUUUUAGCAUGUGGCUCGGCUGUUCCUGUCUUGGGUAUGCGCUGAUGUCGGCGGUUUGUGUCUUGG